CUGACAGCAGAGAUGUCGACAUGUCCUGCUGGCCUUCCCUUAUUAUUUCUCUAAGUUUAGUAUACUUACCCCUUAUAUUAAUAAUAACAUGGACAAGAAGGAAAAAAAAAUCAGCAGCGAUAGAAGUUGGGAAUAACAGUACAAAAUUCUUGAAAAGGAAGAGAAUAAAAAUAGAACUGAUGCAAGAAGGCUGCAGAUUUAAACUGUCUGAUUUUGAGUAAGCACAUUCUAUGGAGACAAAUGGUAAAAGCAACGUAAAGCUACAGAAAAUAACUGAAAGGAAAAUACGAUAUAGGAAGAGAAUUAACAGAAGAAUAUUCGUGGAUACCUCAUGCUGAAUGAGACCUAUUCAACUGGAUAGAGAAGUAG
rnacentral:lncRNA from 1 species